rnacentral:rRNA from 1 species
GCGCACCUACGGGGGGCAGCAGUGGGGAAUAUUGCACAAUGGGGGGAACCCUGAUGCAGCGACGCCGCGUGGGUGAAGAAGUCAUUCGUGACGUAAAGCCCUAUCAGCAGGGAAGAAAAUGACGGUACCUGACUAAGAAGCCCCGGCUAACUACGUGCCAGCAGCCGCGGUAAUACGUAGGGGGCAAGCGUUAUCCGGAUUUACUGGGUGUAAAGGGAGCGUAGACGGCUGUGCAAGUCUGGAGUGAAAGGCAUGGGCUCAACCUGUGGACUGCUUUGGAAACUGUGCGGCUUGAGGGUCGGAGG